rnacentral:rRNA from 1 species
UACGUAGGGCGCAAGCGUUGUCCGGAAUUAUUGGGCGUAAAGAGCUCGUAGGCGGUCUGUCGCGUCGGAUGUGAAAGCUCGAGGCUUAACCUCGGGUCUGCAUCCGAUACGGGCAGACUAGAGGCAGGUAGGGGAGAACGGAAUUCCCGGUGUAGCGGUGAAAUGCGCAGAUAUCGGGAGGAACACCGGUGGCGAAGGCGGUUCUCUGGGCCUGUACUGACGCUGAGGAG